AUAUAUAUUAACAGGACUGUCAAACUUGUAAAAAGGCACAGUAGUAAAAUCCAAUUUAAAAUAAAUCGAUAUCGACUAUCGAUAGUAGAUUAGUCGAUUUGUAGCAGCUAAAUAGAAACGAUCAUUGGUUGAUACUUUAGCGUGUUAACGAUUUGAUUGGCUUUUUAAGAUCAAAUGAUAAUGCUUAGUUUUUCAAUUACGAUAAUGUUUAAUAAUUUGUAAGAAAUAAUAAUUUCCAUUAUAAACGAAUGAUAAUCCAAGUAAAAUAAUAAUAAUAUGAUUUAAAAAUGUAAUUUAUUAAAGCCUCGUUCUUAGGAAGAAUUUGAACGUCUGAAUAAAGCUUAUUGUUUUCGCGGGCAGAGUAGUUGAGUGUGCGCAUGCGCGUAUCGCGCGCGACAACAAAAUAAGAUGGCCGUGCAACGAAACAAAUAGAGCGCCGUCGUAAAUAACAAACCGUCCUAUCACGCUUCUAACGAAGAUAUUUGUGUACAACUCCUUCGUGUAGGAUUGUAGCGGCUGUUUAAUAUCGAAUAAUUUCUUCUUAGUUUUAAAAAAGACGAUUAGUGUAAAAAAGCUUUGAUGAGUUUUUGUGAAUAAAUUAAAAGGCGCGUGGAGCGUUCGUAAGAAACCUCGGCCUCGUUAUAUGCAUCACGCGCGUGCACGAGGGUACGUACGGUACGUCCGUGCGUACGUGCGUACGUGCGUGCGUACGUGCGUAAGUGCAUAAGUGCAUCUUUGAGAAAUUGUUAGGAUUAUAAAAAAAGUGGAUACGAUAUUCGAUAAUCGUCAUCGCCAGGAUGCAACCGCAUGGGGAGGCCAAGCGUCAUUCCCGUCGCCGUCCACGGUUCGCCUAGCUCCUCAUGCUAGUCUCCUCUUCCAAAUUGCUUGUAGCACAGCAUGAAGGAGAUGCUUGGAGGGUGCUGUGUGUGUUCUGAUGAGAGGGGUUGGACCGAGAAUCCGCUGGUCUAUUGCGAUGGACAGGGAUGUACUGUCGCUGUACACCAAGCGUGCUAUGGCAUUGUUACCGUACCAACAGGACCUUGGUAUUGUAGAAAAUGUGAAUCGCAAGAAAGAAGUGCACGUGUGCGCUGUGAAUUAUGCCCGAGCAAAGAUGGAGCGCUCAAAAGGACGGAUCAAGCUGGUUGGGCUCAUGUUGUAUGCGCUCUUUAUAUUCCAGAAGUGCGCUUUGGCAAUGUUACAACAAUGGAACCCAUUAUAUUACAGCUUAUACCUUCUGAAAGAUUUAGUAAAUCUUGUUAUAUUUGCGAAGAUCAAGGUAGAGGAAGCAGAGCAAAUGUUGGAGCUUGUAUGCAGUGUAAUAAAACAGGCUGCAGGCAGCAAUUUCAUGUUACCUGCGCUCAAGCUCUUGGUUUACUUUGUGAAGAAGCUGGCAACUAUCUUGACAAUGUCAAAUAUUGUGGAUAUUGCCAGCAUCAUUAUUCAAAAUUGAAAAAAGGUGGUAAUGUUAAAACUAUACCACCAUAUAAACCUAUACCUGCUGACAAUGGAUCAUCAGAUUCAUCUCCUGAAAAGGAAGCCGAGACUCCUAUAAAAUCAUCAUCAAGUAGUAAAAGGAAAGGAUCCAGUUCAAAAUCAACUACAAAUUCUAAAAAUAAGUCUAAUACUAGUCCAAACGUAGAAAUAAAUGGUGUUACCGAUGACACCAAGAGUAACAGUGGUCGUAAUACUCCCAAAGAUGGUUCUGCGAAUACUGGAAAAUUUACGACAUCAAAUUUUGUAGAAACUAUUGUUACACAGUCAGAAAGCGUAUUUGGACACGAUGGAUCUACUUCAGUGACUGCAGCAACCGCUGUUACAACUGCUAAUAUAAAGACGAGUUCUAAUUCGAAUUUGAUUCAUAAAAAUAGUAAUCAAACAAAAUCUAAUUCUUCACAAUCCAAUAAGGGUUCAAGUCAUACAAGUAAACGAAGAAAGACUGGUGCGCGUACACCAACUGUGAUAGGAAAUGAAAAUUCAAAUCAAUCUGUCAGUUCUGAAGCCAGUGGAUCUGUAGUAGUAGCUGUUAGUUCAGUAGUUCAGCAAACAGUUUCAAGUAAUAAUAAUGUACAACCUACUAUAACUGAAGCCACUAGUCUUAGUACAACAACUGAGCCUGAAAGAGUAAAAAAGUUAAAAAUCGACAGUCCAAUACAAUCUGCAUCUAGUACUCCAGUUACUACAGAGGCAACAACUACACCUGUGAUAAUGUCAGUAACGCAAUCUCAAUCAUCAACAUCUAUUCAAUCACCAACAACUACAUCGAAUAGUAUAGUUGUUUCUGUUCCUUUAACUGCUGCAUCUCUUUCUGGUACUGCCCAAAGUGUAGUAACAAGUGCUCCUACGUUGUAUCAACAAUUACAACAAAGUAUUAUUACUACUGCAGCUAACACCGAGCCAAGAUCGAGUAUCAUGCCAAGUACUGAGAGGUUUAACUUAGAAGAAGCUCCUACUAAAAGAUCUCGAUCUCAAUCUUCGGACAAAGAUAAAGUUCGUAAACCAAAACGUGGGUCAUCUAAUAGUCAACCAGCAUUAGCACAAACACAGCCACAAUCUCAAGCUCAAUCACAGCUACCGAUAUCAUCAAUUGCAACAUCAGUAUCUAGUAGCGCAGUUGUUACGACUUCUAAAAGAGGUGGAAGAAGCAAUCAUCAAACAUCUCCGCCAACUGUAUCAGUAGCACCUGUCCCUUCAAUAAUACAAGGUCCUUCGUUAGUAACUAGCGGCCAUUUUAGUAGUAUUGGAUCCGUGGGCUCGAUGGGUCCUACUGUUAAAGAUUCACCUCCCAGUAGUCCAGGUUCUGAAAGUAUGAGUAGCAGCGGGCCAGGACGUCGUAAAAGAAAAAGUACUUGUCCAGCAUCUACGACACCUACACCACCUGCAUCUAGUACACCUACAACUAUAACGAAUAAUACUAAAGAGGAAAAAGAUAUUAAGCUAUUUCAAAAUGGAGUUAGUGCGCCUCAUAUGUUAGGAAAUCAAUUGAAUCCAACUUCAACGAUGGCACAAAAGAUGUCUGAUACGUUAUCACAAGAAUUAGAGGCUCAUUCUAUUUUUACAGAAGCAAAUAAUUCAGCGGCAACUUUAGUUGGUCCACAAUUACACAGUCGUGUAAUAGCCUCUAUACGAUCGAAUCAAACAACUACGGCACCUACCUCUUUUUCAUCUGUAUUUUCAACAAACAGUAAUACAAAUAUUAGUACUGCAAGUUCCGGAACGUUAGGUAGUGGAGCAAUUCCACAAACGUUAGAUCAAUUGUUAGAAAGACAAUGGGAACAGGGCAGUCAAUUUUUAAUGGAGCAAGCACAGCACUUUGAUAGUGAGUUUGCAUCAUUACUUUCGUGUCUUCAUCAGUUGAGAGCUGAAAAUGUCAGAUUAGAAGAACACGUAAAUAGUCUUUUACAGAGGAGAGAUCAUUUAUUAGCAGUGAAUGCGAGACUAGCAAUUCCUUUAACAACUCAAACGAGUACACAUCCAGCGAAUAAUGUACAUCCAACGGUUAAUCCACCACACGCUAAUGUCGCCCAUCCUGAGGUACCAUCGGGAGCAUCUGGAGCUGCUGUACCUAGAGUUAAUCGAGAAACUCGCGUGAAUAAUACAUACAUACCUCAUUCUAGUUCCGUAAACCAUCCAACUACAUUAGAAAACGGAUUGCCACCGGACCCCUCACCACCUGCAGCAGCAUCCCUAUCUCAGUAUCAACACAGAGGAUCUUUGGUUGCUCCACAACCGAGUCCUACAAUAAGACAUAGUCCAGCAACUAGUGGAUAUUUACAAGGACAGCAAAGUAACAUUGUAUCACCUGCCACAGCUAGUAACUCGGGAGUUGUAAGAAAUUCUUCAGUAACACCAGAUCCCUUACGUGGUGUUCCUCGAUCAGUUCCGCAAUCAUCAAGUAGUUAUAUGCCAUCGAUGUAUCAAUCAGCAGUGUCAACUCUUCCUAAUCAUCAACUGCGAGGAUCAACACAAGUGCGAGAAGAGGCCCUUUUGCCUUGACAAUAAGAGGGUCGAUCUUUAAUGCGCUCUCGAUGAUGCACCCUAUACUACUCGAAUAUGGGACGAGGAUGACGAUGACGCGGUCUCUCUAUGGUUUGCUAAUUUUCACGGGGGUUUUAACACCGUGACGUUAGAGCCGAUUAGAUCCCCGACAAUGUGUGAGACAAGCAUUUCAAAUGAUAAGCGCAGGUGUAUCGACACACCUGCGUAAACUACAGGAUAAGAGAAAUCGCGUUUUACCAUUA
rnacentral:misc_RNA from 1 species